rnacentral:rRNA from 1 species
GAUCCUGGCUCAGGACGAACGCUGGCGGCGUGCUUAACACAUGCAAGUCGAACGAGAAUCUGUGGAUCGAGGAUUCGUCCAAGUGAAGCAGAGGACAGUGGCGGACGGGUGAGUAACGCGUGAGGAACCUGCCUUUCAGAGGGGGACAACAGUUGGAAACGACUGCUAAUACCGCAUGAUACAGUUUGGGUGGCAUCAUCUGAAUGUACAAAGAUUUAUCGCUAGAAAGA